rnacentral:ncRNA from 2 species
GAAUUAUCCAGGGGGAGGCCAUUCUAAAGGCCUGAGAUGACUGUUAAUCAGCGAACCCCUAGAACCUGAUCCGGUUAAUGCCGGCGUAGGAAUGGACAAAACCGCUUUA